AGGACGAACGCUGGCGGCGUGCUUAACACAUGCAAGUCGAGCGGAAAGGCCCUUCGGGUACGUCGAGCGGCGAACGGGUGAGUAACACGUGAGCAACCUGCCCUUAGCUCCGGGAUAGCUCCGGGAAACCGGAAUUAAUACCGGAUACGACCACGGCCGACAUCUGCUGUGGUGGAAAGGAUUCCGGCUAAGGAUGGGCUCGCGGCCUAUCAGCUAGUUGGUGGAGUAACGGCCCACCAAGGCGACGACGGGUA
rnacentral:rRNA from 1 species